CCUACGGGAGGCAGCAGUGGGGAAUUUUGGACAAUGGGCGCAAGCCUGAUCCAGCAAUGCCGCGUGAGUGAAGAAGGCCUUCGGGUUGUAAAGCUCUUUUGUCAGGGAAGAAACGGUGAGGGCUAAUAUCUCUUGCUAAUGACGGUACCUGAAGAAUAAGCACCGGCUAACUACGUGCCAGCAGCCGCGGUAAUACGUAGGGUGCAAGCGUUAAUCGGAAUUACUGGGCGUAAAGCGUGCGCAGGCGGUUUUGUAAGUCUGUCGUGAAAUCCCCGGGCUCAACCUGGGAAUUGCGAUGGAGACUGCAAGGCUAGAAUCUGGCAGAGGGGGGUAGAAUUCCACGUGUAGCAGUGAAAUGCGUAGAGAUGUGGAGGAACACCGAUGGCGAAGGCAGCCCCCUGGGUCAAGAUUGACGCUCAUGCACGAAAGCGUGGGGAGCAAACAGGAUUAGAUACCCUGGUAGUCCACGCCCUAAACGAUGUCUACUAGUUGUUCGGUUUUAAUUAACGUUAGGUAACGCAGCUACGCGUGAGUAGACCGCCGNGGGAGGUACGGUCGGUCGAGAAGUUAAACGUAACGUUAAGUUAAGUAGUUAGCGNGNGAGAGCGACGACGACGACGACGGAGGAGGAG
rnacentral:rRNA from 1 species